rnacentral:lncRNA from 1 species
CCAGAGGCUGGGUCUAAUUAGUUGAGAAGCAGUGACACCCCCAACCACUCCCCAAACAGGCUGGCUCCCGUCUCCAGGCCCCAAGGAGCCACACCUGGACCAGACCCCAGGAAAGACAUGUGGUGGAAACCCUACGGCCCUGGAGCCCAAGGAGAGCAACGGCUGUAACAAGUGCACAGGCAAGGGCGCUAGCUGGUGGGAGCCACCCCGCCAUGCUGAUGUCAGAGAAGCAAGAACUCUGGAGAAGCAGCCUCCUGGGACCAGAGGAGGGCCAGCAGCAGGCAGCCCGGAGACAGAACUCUCACCCACGCCUCUCCAAGCCUCCCAACAGAAGACAGAGGUCCCCCACAGCCAGAGACAUUUCCUGAAGACAUGGGGAACACAGAGGCAGAAACAGCCCAUCCACCCAGGAGCUGUCCCCCACACUGCCGGGAGCCGGCACCCAGAGCCGCCAGGUAAAACUGAGGCCACCUGGUUCAACAUCACCUUUCACAGAAGGGGAAGCAGCCACAGAAAGAAGGGCCUCGUUAAGAAGUGGAACCUGGGACCC